rnacentral:misc_RNA from 1 species
GCUCAGGGUGUCGAGGUUGUCGUGCUUCGUUGCUGUGUUCAUCCGGUGGUCGGGCAACUUGCCACUGGUGUAAUCUCAGCCGGAGUUGGACCGUCAGUCGGGAAGAGUCUGAGGCCUGUUUAUCGGUGUUAGGGAGGUAGGCCUCGAGGUUGCCUUCGGGCUCCCGGGGUCACGUAUAGCCUUUCGCCGUGGUUUCAGUCGUCUUUCAGGUGUGUUGGAUGGCCGUUCGUCCAUGAUUGGUAGGUGCAGUCUCCCCUAGUGGGAGGUCGGGCCUUCGCUGCGGUUGCUCAACAUCUGGGAGUGUGUGUUCCGUUCUCUCGCCGUAGACUUGUUCUGCGGUGUAGGGUACGGCACUACCCUUUGUGUUGUGUCCCAAUGUGUCGUGUCCAAGUU